rnacentral:misc_RNA from 1 species
GAAGUUUUCGGUUGAAUUCAUUCCGAUUCAUAUAUUCUCCUCCUCCUUCACUCCCUCUCUCGAUUCUCAAUUCGCACCAACAAAAAAACCCUAGAAAAAUGGGCAACAUUAUGAACAAGGAGGAGCCACCACCGCCCAUGGUGCUCGUUCCUCCUCUCUUCGAUUUUCCGCCUCUUGCUGCUCGCACCAGGAUGUUGGAAUCGUCAUAUAACAUGUUAUUUGGGAAACUUGCUUUGAAAUGCCUUUUUGAGGAUUAUUUUGAAGAAGCGAGGCAUUUUACUACCAGAAUUAUGUUGAAGCCAAUUGAUGAUCCUCAUGUAGAUUUGAUUGCUACAGUAUCCAUCAAAUUUUUUGUUCUCUCUCCCUAUUUCGUUUCUCUGUGGUUUGAUUUAUAGUUCAAAAUUUGUUCUCAUCAUAUUCCUUCAUUUUUCUGCAUCCACGUCCAUUUUACUGAAAGAAUAAGAUUGAGCAACUGGACAAAGGAGCAUUUUCCUUUUCUCCUUAACUUUAUUAGGUGUCAGGUCCAUUAGAUCAUAAGCCCGAUGAGAAAAUUACAGGAAAUGCAUUAUUUUGAUGGCAAAGGUUUGCGGAAUUACUGUUCAUCACUUGCAUCUGUUGGGCACUAAAAUUAGUAAAAAUGGAAUUAUCAAACGAUUUUCUAAUACUUUUGUGUAAUGAGUGAUGUGGAUGAUCCUCAUGUGUUCAUGUACCUUUUUGUGUUAAAAUGGGACCCUAGUACUCUCAACUUAAUAUUGGCAAAGUUGGUUAUUUCGAAGUACAUGUGUGUACAAGUAGAAUCACAUCCCACUUCUAAAUAAAAUUCUUUUAACCAAUUCAAAAUCAUAAUUGAUUAUAGUUUAUUUUAUUUCUUGAACUGUUUAAUUUUCCUUCUCUCUUAAUGUUUUGGGUGUGGAUUAAGGCAUCACUUAAGGAAGUGGAGAGGAUGCUCCAAGAACAAAGGUGUGUUCCAUUUGAAUGAACAUUUUAUUUACUGCAAAAGGUUUAUAUAACAUAAGAAGUAUGAAUUUUGUAUUUCCAACAAUGCGUCCUUAUCUACCGACUGGUGGGGUCACAAGUAAUUUCAGUUGCAUCUACUGAAUCUGGAUUGGUUUAUGGCAUUUAAUACCCUUUCAUCUCUCUCUAUCACUCUACUGGUCUGGAUUUAUAGUUCAGUAGAAGAGUACAUUGCCUCGUGAUACUAAGAUUGGUUUAUUAUCUUGUUAAUCUUCACAGGUCCUCUUCUUUUCAAGGUAUAUUGUUAAAGCAGAAUCUUGAUUCCAAAGUUGUAGAUGCUGAUGCUCUCAAGGAUCUAAGGAAUAAGCUAGCUGAGAAUGAGUAAAAAAAAUAGGUUAUACUAAUUUUGUUUUAGAAUUUAGAACUUAGAACUUAGAACAUACCCUUUACCUUGGACAAUACUCCUUGUUCACUUUGGCCUGAUAUUAUUGUUGAUAAUAUUGUAUAGAACAUUCAGUGUUGCUCUCAAGUGGUUUCUAAUCACCAUAGAACAUUUAUUAAUGCUAGCACUAUUUCAGGAUUAUUGUUAUUAUUUCGGUUUUGUACCACCUAAAUUGCUGCUGCUUGUGCUUUGUGAUCAGUUUACUCUUCCAAUCCUUUCAAGGCUCAACACAAUAUAUUUCAGAUUUUAACUUUUGCCUUUGUUGUCUGGUGCUUCUACAGGCAUUUAUUCAGAAUGUGGCUUUGUUUUUCACUUCAUUUUAUAA